AGGGUGUGAAGAGAGAGCAGAGCGCCCGAAGAAUGGCUCCUCUGUGAAUAACACACCAACAGCAACUUGGGCCUAUUCUUCACGGGUGGCAGGAUACUGUGGCCUUCCUGUGAUAUUACACCCUAUACAA